rfam:Glossina morsitans morsitans, isolate Yale, WGS project CCAG01000000 data, contig: ctg10007966
AAAACGGCUCUUUUCAGAGCCUUUCAGUUUUAUGUUAAGAUUUGG